rnacentral:tRNA from 1 species
GGGGUUUUAGUUAAAUAAUAACAUUAGUAUGUCACGCUAAAUUUAUCUUUUUUAAAGAUAAGCCCUU